rnacentral:rRNA from 1 species
GAUGGACGCUGGCGGCGUGCCUAAUACAUGCAAGUCGAACGCUUCUUUUUCCACCGGAGCUUGCUCCACCGGAAAAAGAGGAGUGGCGAACGGGUGAGUAACACGUGGGUAACCUGCCCAUCAGAAGGGGAUAACACUUGGAAACAGGUGCUAAUACCGUAUAACAAUCGAAACCGCAUGGUUUUGAUUUGAAAGGCGCUUUCGGGUGUCGCUGAUGGAUGGACCCGCGGUGCAUUAGCUAGUUGGUGAGGUAACGGCUCACCAAGGCCACGAGGCAUAGCAGACCUGAGAGGGUGAUCGGCCACAUUGGGACUGAGACACGGCCCAAACUCCUACGGGAGGCAGCAGUAGGGAAUCUUCGGCAAUGGACGAAAGUCUGACUGAGCAACGCCGCGUGAGUGAAGAAGGUUUUCGGAUCGUAAAACUCUGUUGUUAGAGAAGAACAAGGAUGAGAGUAACUGUUCAUCCCUUGACGGUAUCUAACCAGAAAGCCACGGCUAACUACGUGCCAGCCGCCGCCGUAA